rnacentral:rRNA from 1 species
AGUGAACGCUGGCGGUAGGCCUAACACAUGCAAGUCGAACGGCAGCACAGAGGAGCUUGCUCCUUGGGUGGCGAGUGGCGGACGGGUGAGGAAUACAUCGGAAUCUACUCUGUCGUGGGGGAUAACGUAGGGAAACUUACGCUAAUACCGCAUACGACCUACGGGUGAAAGCAGGGGACCUUCGGGCCUUGCGCGAUUGAAUGAGCCGAUGUCGGAUUAGCUAGUUGGCGGGGUAAAGGCCCACCAAGGCGACGAUCCGUAGCUGGUCUGAGAGGAUGAUCAGCCACACUGGAACUGAGACACGGUCCAGACUCCUACGGGAGGCAGCAGUGGGGAAUAUUGGACAAUGGGCGCAAGCCUGAUCCAGCCAUACCGCGUGGGUGAAGAAGGCCUUCGGGUUGUAAAGCCCUUUUGUUGGGAAAGAAAUCCAGCUGGCUAAUACCCGGUUGGGAUGACGGUACCCAAAGAAUAAGCACCGACCAACUUCGUGCCAGCCGCCGCAGUAA